rnacentral:rRNA from 1 species
UACAGAGGUCUCAAGCGUUGUUCGGAUUCAUUGGGCGUAAAGGGUGCGUAGGUGGCGCUGUAAGUCGGGUGUGAAAUUUCGGAGCUUAACUCCGAAACUGCAUUCGAUACUGCAGUGCUUGAGGACUGGAGAGGAGACUGGAAUUCAUGGUGUAGCAGUGAAAUGCGUAGAGAUCAUGAGGAAGACCAGUGGCGAAGGCGGGUCUCUGGACAGUUCCUGACACUGAGGCACGAAGGCCAGGGGAGCAAACGGG